rnacentral:rRNA from 1 species
UACGUAGGGGGCAAGCGUUGUCCGGAAUCAUUGGGCGUAAAGAGCGUGUAGGCGGCUCGGUAAGUCCGCUGUGAAAGUCCAGGGCUCAACCCUGGAAUGCCGGUGGAAACUGUCGAGCUAGAGUCCGGAAGAGGAGAGUGGAAUUCCUGGUGUAGCGGUGAAAUGCGCAGAUAUCAGGAAGAACACCCGUGGCGAAGGCGGCUCUCUGGUACGUGACUGACGCUGAGACGCGAAAGCGUGGGGAGCGAACAGG